UGGGGAAUUGUUCGCAAUGGGCGCAAGCCUGACGACGCAACGCCGCGUGGAGGAUGAAGACCUUCGGGUCGUAAACUCCUUUCGACCGAGAAGAAUGGCUCACGACCUCAUACGUCGUGAGCAUGACGGUAUCGAGGGAAGAAGCCCCGGCUAACUCUGUGCCAGCAGCCGCGGUAAUACAGGGGGGGCAAGCGUUGUUCGGAAUUACUGGGCGUAAAGGGUCUGUAGGUGGCCAACUAAGUCAGACGUGAAAUCCCUCAGCUUAACUGGGGAACUGCGUCUGAUACUGGAUGGCUUGAGUGUGGGAGAGGAAUGCGGAAUUCCAGGUGUAGCGGUGAAAUGCGUAGAUAUCUGGAGGAACACCGGUGGCGAAGGCGGCAUUCUGGACCAUAACUGACACUGAGAGACGAAAGCCAGGGGAGCAAACGGGAUUAGAUACCCGCGUAGUCC
rnacentral:rRNA from 1 species